GAGGAAAGUCCGGACACCAAAGGGCUGGUUGCUGGGUAACGCCCAGUGCGCGUGAGCGUGAGGAUAGUGCCACAGAAAUGAAAACCGCCAGGCUUGCCUGGUAAGGGUGCAACGGUGCGGUAAGAGCGUCACCAGCAAGGUCGGGAGGCCUUGGCUAGGUAAACCCCGCUGAAGGUGCAAGGCUAAGGUAUAACUCGAGAUAACGGCGGCCCGUCGCCUUGAGUUGCCGAUGCUGCUAGAGGGUUCAGGAGACUGGGCUCGAAGAGAGAUGACGAUCGUAAUACAGAAUCCGGCUUA
rnacentral:RNase_P_RNA from 1 species